UAUAGAAGAGAUUUAAUUUUGGUUACCCGCAUCCUUGCAAUCAGAAUGAUAUUGAAAUUUAAGAAAGAAAGUAAGACAAAAACACUGCACAGCUGUUUUAUAAACUAUCUUACCCCGAGGCAGUUGUGUGCUCGCUGCGAUGACCAUGGCUAAGCAACUCCCCUUGUUAAUGCACAGACCUCCAAAGACUUUUCCGGGGAAGAAUUCUGAUCGUGACUUCUUGCCGUUCAGUGGACGAGGAACGAGAACACUUUCCAAAGAACGGAAAUGUAUUUAAGAGUGCACAGUCUCCUCGCACACGCAUGCACUUCGAUCACUCUCCUGAACUUAUCCCUGACUUCGUUUGACCUUCUUCCCGAGCGAGGUCACUGAACCCUCUCUUCCAGGCAACAACUUCCAAAAAAAAAAAAAAAAAA